UAACACGUGGGUAACCUGCCCAUCAGAAGGGGAUAACACUUGGAAACAGGUGCUAAUACCGUAUAACAAUCGAAACCGCAUGGUUUCGGUUUGAAAGGCGCUUUUGCGUCACUGAUGGAUGGACCCGCGGUGCAUUAGCUAGUUGGUGAGGUAACGGCUCACCAAGGCAACGAUGCAUAGCCGACCUGAGAGGGUGAUCGGCCACAUUGGAACUGAGACACGGCCCAG
rnacentral:rRNA from 1 species